rnacentral:rRNA from 1 species
UACGGGGGGAGCAAGCGUUGUUCGGAUUUACUGGGCGUAAAGCGCGCGUAGGCGGACCUGCAAGUCGGGGGUGAAAGCCCGAGGCUCAACCUCGGAACUGCCUUCGAUACUGCGGGUCUCGAGUCCGGGAGAGGUGAGUGGAAUUCCUAGUGUAGAGGUGAAAUUCGUAGAUAUUAGGAAGAACACCAGUGGCGAAGGCGGCUCACUGGCCCGUAACUGACGCUGAGGCACGGAAAGCGUGGGGAGCAAACAGGG